rnacentral:lncRNA from 1 species
GUGGCUCCUACAAAGCAGACUGCUUGCACAUUAACUGGUGGUAAAGCAUCCAGGAAGCAACUGACUACAAAGGCUGCUUACAAGAGUGCACCCUCUCCUGGAGUGGUGAAGAAACCUCAUUGUUACAGGCCUGGUACUGUGGCACUCCAUGAAAUCAGUUGUUUCUGGAAGUCCACUGAACUUCUGAAUCACACACUUCCCUUCCACGGUCUGGCUUGAGAAAUUGCUCAGGACUUCAAAUCAGACCAGUGCGUCCAGAGCGCAGCUAUUGGUGCUUUGCGGGAGGCAAGUGAGGCCUAUCUGGUUGUCCUUUUUGAAGACACCAGCCUGUGUGCUGUCCAUGCCAAAUGUAUAACAAUUAUGCCAAAAGAC